UACAGAGGGGGCAAGCGUUAUUCGGAAUUAUUGGGCGUAAAGGGCGCGUAGGCGGCCUGGCAAGUGACGGGUGAAAGCCCUCGGCUUAACCGAGGAACUGCCUGUCAGACUGUUAGGCUUGAGACCGGGAGAGGUGAGUGGAAUUCCCAGUGUAGCGGUGAAAUGCGUAGAUAUUGGGAGGAACACCAGUGGCGAAGGCGGCUCACUGGACCGGCAUUGACGCUGAGGCGCGAAAGCUAGGGGAGCAAACGGG
rnacentral:rRNA from 1 species